UUGACCACUGCUUCCUGUAUCACGAGUUAUUGACUUCUGGCACACAGAUGGGAGCAAGAUAGUUUUAUAUUUUAAUUAUUCUGCCCCCCUUGGUUGGUUUCAGUUCAGCUGAACAUUCUAUUGUUAUAGCAACCCCAGUUGGCGUUGAAAUAAAAUGGCCUUCUUUACAUUUUAUUUUUUAUGGUUUGGCAGUUAGCAUGCUAACACUGUUACGUCCAACAUUUUAAAAGCUUUAAAGGCCAACUCCUGUCGACUUCAACCUUUAUUGGAGGUGUGUUUACGUGCUGCAUAGCUGUACACCUAUAGUACAAACAGUGAGGGCAGGGUCCUGUAACCUCAAUGCCUGAUGGGAGGCGGAUGCCCCUUGCUCAGCCCAGGGCCUUUGUGUCAAGGCGAGUAUUUCUGCCUCUGUUAUUAGGGGGAUUAGUCUGAUGGCCCAGCCACAGCUGAGCACAUGGUGAGUACAUGAU